AGUGAACGCUGGCGGUAGGCCUAACACAUGCAAGUCGAACGGCAGCACAGUAAGAGCUUGCUCUUACGGGUGGCGAGUGGCGGACGGGUGAGGAAUACAUCGGAAUCUUCUUUUUCGUGGGGGAUAACGUAGGGAAACUUACGCUAAUACCGCAUACGAUCUACGGGUGAAAGCAGGAGAUCUUCGCACCUUGCGCGAUUGAAAGAGCCGAUGUCGGAUUAGCUAGUUGGCGGGGUAAAGGCCCACCGAGGCGACGAUCCGUAGCUGAUCUGAGAGGAUGAUCGGCCACACUGGAACUGAGACACGGUCCAGACUCCUACGGGAGGCAGCAGUGGGGAAUAUUGGACAAUGGGCGCAAGCCUGAUCCAGCCAUACCGCGUGGGUGAAGAAGGCCUUCGGGUUGUAAAGCCCUUUUGUUGGGAAAGAAAAGCAGCAGGUUAAUACCCCGCUGUUCUGACGGUACCCAAAGAAUAAGCACCGGCUAACUUCGUG
rnacentral:rRNA from 1 species